rnacentral:lncRNA from 1 species
AGGCAGAGCGCGUGUGGCCGCCGAGCACAUGGACCCACUGGUCAAGCGGGCUCGGCAAGGCCAGGAUGAAGAGAAGCUACGAACUUAGCAUUCCCAGAGCCCCCCGAGUGGAUAUCCGCGUGGAAAGGAUGUUGGCAGCCCCGGUGACCUCGGAGUCACGGCUGGAUCCACCCUCUUUAUACCCUUUAAGCGUUCCAGAAGGAUUUUGAGAUCCUUUCCUAAAUCAAAGGUGGAAUAUUUGGGGAUUUGGAAAAUUGAGGCUUCAGAGAAAUCAGGAGCGGUGAAUGAUCGAAAUGGACCUUUGAGAUUACAGUGUGGAGCUGACAUUGCCAGUUAAGCCUGGGCAGAUCUGACUUAAUUGAUUUAGUUGUUGGAGCAGAGACAACCCAGAGGCUUGGAUCAGCCUCCCCAUCUGACAGUGUGCUGAUGUGAAGCGUUGACUUAAGAGAUGCCAAGUAACUCAGCAGAUGUCACACAGACGAUAAAUAGCAAAGAUGGAAGUCUUCAUGCCGGAGGCAAUCCUAUAAGACAGCUGAGUUCUGCAGAGCUGGUAGGAGACAGACUUGCUCAGGUGAUAGAUCCAGCCAUGAUACUGACCCUAAGAGAAUGAGACGCUCUGCAGAAGACAGAAGAUUCCUGAAACUGGGAAAGGUGCCUAGAAAUCCUGAUAAGAGUGAAGAAGGGUACCUGGAGGCACAGCAGCCAUGUUGAACCUAUGAGGUGAUGAAAAACCAUGCAACUAGAAACCAGAAUGGAAGAAAAGAAGAAGCUGGAUCCUUGACUGAAUUGUCGAUGGGGGAUAGUCCAUCAUCCCAGGGCUAAGACCACCUCCAGAUUUCUUGUUUGGUGAAACAAGUCCUGAUUGUUUACAUUCCCUCGUGUUGAGCUGUCUCUUGCUUGUAGCUGAAAGCAUUUCUAAUAGAUAUUCAGAUUAUCAGCCUUAGCUCCAAGCUAGAAUACUCUAUGGGACCUUAGCUUCUCCAUGAAUUCCUUUGCUCAUCUGUGUAAUGCUCAAUAAAUGUAAAUUGAACCCUGAAUGAGGGACAAUGACA